CAUGACUGCUAAAGAGAAUAGACGAUAAGUUUCUUCAUGGGAGACUAGAAGCAGAAAAAGGGAAAUACCAACAACUGGAUGGUUUUCCCCAUUUCCCCCUUUGAUUCUGUCUUGUGUGAUGGUGCCAAUCGCAUCACGUAGUUGUCCGACCUUUAGUUCUCUCUUGAAAUGCUUCAUAGAUAUACUCUGUUGUGCCUCGUCAUCUCUUAGAUGGUUCUAAAUCCAGUCAGGCUGGCAAUGAAGAUCAGCUAUCAUAUUAGGGAAACUUCCCAGGGAGAUAGAUUUCAUCAGGUCUGGUUCUCUUUCACCCCAGAAGUUCCUUUUUAGCUUUUAAGUCAAAUCACAGCAGUGAAAAACCAGAGCAUUCAUCAAGUGCCUCUUCCAAGUUUUCCCGAGGAAUUUCACUAUCACAGAUGUCUUACCCCUGUCAUCGAAACUGUCAAUGACUGUUGUGGUUCUGAAAUCUUAUUCCACAUACAAGCUACAAACUGGCCUUCCCCAAGUUCAAGGAUGUGGGCAAACACAAAGAAUGCCAGUAAGCACUUGCACAUGCAGUAGGCUGUAGAGAAGCAGACCCUGCAGCCUUGCUUAAACAAACUGAGGGAGACAUGCUAUGUUCCAAAACUGAAGGAAACUUGCCUUCUAUUGUACAGUGGAACACUAUCUCCAUGCCCAAGGUUCCUCCCGGACAAAGGACAAGUCAUGGCUUGCUCACAGACUUACAGAGGCCCAAGGGGCUCAUGGGAAAUUUGCCUUUUUGUAGCUUUCCCUUGAUUGUGCUGCUUGUAACCUACCUUCACGAUGCUUUCUCCUGCAAGGAGCUUACAUGAUAUCCCUGCUGCCUUCCCGACU